UACGUAGGGUGCGAGCGUUAAUCGGAAUUACUGGGCGUAAAGCGUGCGCAGGCGGUAAUGUAAGACAGAUGUGAAAUCCCCGGGCUUAACCUGGGACCUGCAUUUGUGACUGUAGAGCUGGAGUACGGCAGAGGGGGAUGGAAUUCCGCGUGUAGCAGUGAAAUGCGUAGAUAUGCGGAGGAACACCGAUGGCGAAGGCAAUCCCCUGGGCCUGUACUGACGCUCAUGCACGAAAGCGUGGGGAGCAAACAGG
rnacentral:rRNA from 1 species